rnacentral:lncRNA from 1 species
ACUCCGACUGCUCUGAGGUCCAGGUACCAGGCCCGGAAACCACGGAAAGGGGAACUUGGUCUUUUCUUGUUUUGCUCUCAACCCCUUCCUGUCUCCAAGCCCAGGGCAGCUGCCCCGCUCACCCCACCCUGCCCUCGUCCCCACCCUCCCCGAGACUCAAUUCCGUGGGGAGUCGGGCCCUCGACACUGUGCUGACCCCCGGCCACCCACCUCCAUCUUGGCCGCGGUGGUCCCUAGCCC